UUUCUUUUGAGUUGUGAUUCAAGGUGCUAUUAACAAUGUGCAGUUGGUUCAUGGUCAUGCAAUUACCAUGGCAACCAGUCACAUGACAUGAUGUGAGUAGAAAGGCUUUUAGAAGCCAUCUCUCCAGAGCAGGCCAAGCCCCCGCCCCCUUAUCAGCCUGCAUGAUGCAUGUGAUUCAUGUAGAACUUUGUGACUGUAACGCAGUUGUCGGUCAUGAAAAAUCUUCAGCAUGGUGAACAGAUGUGAUCAUUUGUACUCAGAUAUCUCAACAGACAAACCAAUUAUCUGACAGUGUAUGGCAGGGGUAUUGUACAAAGGCAUGAAAAGGGAGGUGCGGACUACAACUGGCUGUCACCAUUCCAAGGGUUGACACCUAAAUGCCAGCUCCUCCACUGUGACAUGGAGGCGGGUGCUGCACUGUGACAUUAUUGCAUAGCACCAGGCUCCUGUCAGUGAAGAGGAGCUAGCAGUACAGGCAGAGUAUGUGGGGGCAGCCCAGCAUCUCUGCUGGGCACGCCCCCAAAAUUAUGAUAAGGGGCUUCUGACGAGGCCACGCUCCUCCCUGUUAGUCCACAACCGGGAUUAGAGUGAACGAGGACAUCCCGUGAGGCCACGCCCCCUGACUGCAAGGUCAUGCCCCUUUUCAGGCGCAGAUUCUUUACUGCACCAGGAAAAUAUUAUGGAAAAAUGACCGUGAGCUUCAUGUGACAAAGGGGAUGCUCAUUGUAUGACACUAUUGGAGCCCCUUGGGAAAUGUAUGUACACUGGAGCAUAAAGCAAAGUGUACUAUACGUGUAACAUGGUGCUAAAUGAGACACACAAUUAUGCACUGUACUGUACUGCUGUCACUGACUCACAGUGUGCUUAUUUAUAGCUGUUUUCUAGAUGCAUGGUCCUCAAUAAAAUAAUGCCAUAGUGUUAUACUUAGUUUAAGUUACUGCCUAACAUUGAUUUACGGUGCUCUCCUGUCCUUGUAUAUAAUAGUGCAUUAUGAAAUAUCUGUCUAUAUAGUGACAGUAUUAGAAAAAAAUGUCUUCAUCACUCGUAGUCAUGCCCUUGACAAGACAAUGAGAGCAGGGCCUUUUCUGUAUAACCUUGAACACUGUGGGAAGAAAGUGUCAGGAUUACAGCACUCAUUACUGGAAAAGGUACAAAAAAACAUAUAACAUCUCCACAUUGCUUUCACCAAGGCUGGAGUAUGAUAACAUUGCAGAUUUGAAAAGCUGAAGUAAGGGGACCGUCCCGCCAUCCCGCGGCAGGCAUGUUCAUUACCCCAUGUGAGAAGUUGGGGUGCAUGUUCUUUGUGAGUGGAUGCCUCAAGUAGUAGACCUGGAAUUUUCCAUUACAGCACUGUGUAAAAGAAGUUCGAACGUCAGGCAAGUUCGCUGUGAUACAUCCACAUUCUCUUUGGUGAGCACAUUUGCUACGGAACGUGUCCCCAGAGGCCUACUCGGUAACUUUCAACUGUCAUUCAAGCCUUAUCAUCACUGGCUGACAUAGAAUAUGCCUUUGUCAUUUACUCUCCAUGAAGGAAUUAAUGUGAGAGAAUUGCUGAAUAUGCUGUCAUUGUUACUAUGUAUUCAUUCUGCUUCCCAGCUUUCAUGUCUCAUAAAGCUUGCAGUGCC